rnacentral:rRNA from 1 species
AUGAACGCUGGCGGCGUGCCUAAUCCAUGCAAGUCGAGCGAACGGACGAGGAGCUUGCUCCUCUGACGUUAGCGGCGGACGGGUGAGUAACACGUGGAUAACCUACCUAUAAGACUGGGAUAACUUCGGGAAACCGGAGCUAAUACCGGAUAAUAUAUUGAACCGCAUGGUUCAAUAGUGAAAGACGGUUUUGCUGUCACUUAUAGAUGGAUCCGCGCCGCAUUAGCUAGUUGGUAAGGUAACGGCUUACCAAGGCAACGAUGCGUAGCCGACCUGAGAGGGUGAUCGGCCACACUGGAACUGAGACACGGUCCAGACUCCUACGGGAGGCAGCAGUAGGGAAUCUUCCGCAAUGGGCGAAAGCCUGACGGAGCAACGCCGCGUGAGUGAUGAAGGUCUUCGGAUCGUAAAACUCUGUUAUUAGGGAAGAACAAAUGUGUAAGUAACUAUGCACGUCUUGACGGUACCUAAUCAGAAAGCCACGGCUAACUACGUG